GGAUUCGUCGCUCUUUUGGCAGACAACGCAUGGCUCAAUGAACCAGACAGACUAGCGACCCCAUGUGUGUCUACACUGAAACGACAUCUUCAUUCUUGAAAACCAAGCAACAACCACAGAGACAUUCAAAACCUACUGACAACCCUGCAGACAACAGAAGGGGAAAUGAAGCGGUGGGUGAAGGAGGUUGAGGAGUGGGCUGCAUCCAGUCCAAAGUCCACCAACUGCCAAGACUAACAGGGACUGCUGUGGGUCAUGGAGGGCCUUGUCCUUAAAAUCAAACAAUGAAAAAUAGAGCUGUACAGAGCCAUAGACAAUAACAAGGCCGUAAGCCCAAAUGGGAGCUUAUUGAGAAGGAAAAGAGGAAACUGGAGGAGGCAAUUGCAGCUUACAACAGCCUUGUGCCAGACACAGGCUGUUGAUACAGUAGAUGCAGUUCUAAGUCAAGACUUCCCCAUUUGGCCGUGGGAUUCUGCAUCCACAGUCCCCCUAGAGACAAAGAAAAUGGCCUUGGACAAAGUAAUGCUGCUGUCUCGACUUCAAGAAGAGGAUGGGAUUCUCAUCAAAGAGAUAAGGAACCACUGCCGCUACCUGACUGGAUCUUCAAAAGCUGUAAAAAGAGAGAUCCAGCAGAUUGACGAGGACCUGUGUAUAAUGAUCAUUAUUUAGCAUGCGUUUAUGUAUUUGAUUGUGAUUCAUUUAAAUACAAAGUUACAGUAUUUAAAGGUCACAAAUGUAGGCUACACAACAUUGUGAGCUCACAUAAGAAAGUAUUUCUGUUAUUCUUUCUCAUCAAUCUAAUAUCACCCCUUUCCCCCCUUGUAGGCUGUCCUUUUAACAUGUCCAUGGGUUCAUAUGAGGGACUGAAGGUUUUAUUGAAACAAAAACUCCAGGACAUGGAGAAGCAAAUGGAGGAGUUCUUCAGCACAUCCAGGAGAGUUUUGAUGGACCCCACUGCCCUACAGGAGGAAGAGGAGGAUGAGGGAGAGGAGGAUGUAUAGGAUGGGGAGAUCUGUCUGACUCUAGAUGAAACCGACUCCUCUGAUGAUGGCAAGAUUAAAGGCUGGUGUUCCAGUCAAACACUUGCAUCAUGGGGUGUAAUCAGUUGUGGAAGAAGUACUCAGAUCCUUUACUGCAGUAAAAGUACCAAUACAGCAGUGUAAAAAAACUCCAUUACAGGUAAAAGUCAUGCAUGAAAAAUCAUACUAUCAUCAUUUAUUGAAAGUGAAUAAAUAUAAUGUAGGGAUGCACGAUAUUAUUGGCACGUCAU